GAGUUUGAUCAUGGCUCAGAUUGAACGUUAGCGGCACGCCUAAUACAUGCAAGUCGAACGAGAAAGCACCUUCGGGUGCGAGUACAGUGGCGGACGGGGGAGACGCGUAGGAAUCUACCCAGUAGUAGGGGACAACUCGAGGAAACUCGAGCUAAUACCGCAUACGCCCCACGGGGGAAAGGCCGGGAUCUUCGGACCGCUCACUAUUGGAGGAGCCUGCGUUGGAUUAGCUAGUUGGUGAGGUAAAGGCUCACCAAGGCGACGAUCCAUAGCUGGUCUGAGAGGACGAUCAGCCACACUGGAACUGAGACACGGUCCAGACUCCUACGGGAGGCAGCAGUAGGGAAUAUUGUGCAAUGGGGGAAACCCUGACACAGCCAUGCCGCGUGUGUGAAGAAGGCUCUAGGGUUGUAAAGCACUUUCAGUAGGGAGGAAAAGAUUGGAUUAAUUAAUCCUGUUUAGUGACGUUACCCGCAAAAGAAGUACCGGCAAACUCCGUGCCAGCAGCCGCGGUAAUACGGAGGGUACGAACGUUAAUCGGAAUUACUAGGCGUAAAGCGCGCGUAGGUGGUUCGGUUAGUGGGAUGUGAAAGCCCCGGGCUCAACCCGGGAACUGCAUUCCAAACUGGUUGACUAGAGUACAUGGAAGAGAAGCGGAAUUCCUAGUGUAGCGGUGAAAUGCGUAGAUAUUAGGAAGAACACCAGUGGCGAAGGCGGCUUCUUGGAUUGAUACUGACACUGAGGUACGAAAGCGUGGGGAGCAAACAGGAUUAGAUACCCUGGUAGUCCACGCCCUAAACGAUGAGAACUAGAUGUUGGAGGAAUUUAUAAUCCUUUAUCGUAGCUAACGCGAUAAGUUCUCCGCCUGGGGAGUACGGCCGCAAGGUUAAAACUCAAAUGAAUUGACGGGGGCCCGCACAAGCGGUGGAGCAUGUUGUUUAAUUCGAUGCAACGCGAAGAACCUUACCACCCCUUGACAUACUCGGAACUUUCUAGAGAUAGAUUGGUGCCUUCGGGAGCCGAGAUACAGGUGCUGCAUGGCUGUCGUCAGCUCGUGUCGUGAGAUGUUGGGUUAAGUCCCGUAACGAGCGCAACCCUUGUCCUUAUUUGCCAGCGGAUUAUGCCGGGAACUCUAAGGAGACUGCCGGUGACAAACCGGAGGAAGGUGGGGAUGACGUCAAGUCAUCAUGGCCCUCACGGGGUGGGCUACAAACGUGCUACAAUGGGCGGUACAAAGGGCUGCAAACCAGCGAUGGUAAGCGAAUCCCAAAAAACCGCUCGUAGUCCGGAUAGGAGUCUGCAACUCGACUCCUUGAAGUCGGAAUCGCUAGUAAUCGCGAAUCAGAAUGUCGCGGUGAAUACGUUCCCGGGCCUUGUACACACCGCCCGUCACACCAUGGGAGUGGAUUGCACCAGAAGUAGUUAGUCUAACCUUCGGGAGGACGAUUACCACGGUGUGGUUCAUGACUGGGGUGAAGUCGUAACAAGGUAACC
rnacentral:rRNA from 1 species